rnacentral:rRNA from 1 species
AUUGAACGCUGGCGGCAUGCCUUACACAUGCAAGUCGAACGGUAACAGGCCGCAAGGUGCUGACGAGUGGCGAACGGGUGAGUAAUGCAUCGGAACGUGCCCAGUCGAGGGGGAUAACUGCUCGAAAGAGCAGCUAAUACCGCAUACGACCUGAGGGUGAAAGAGGGGGACCGAAAGGCCUCGCGCGAUUGGAGCGGCCGAUGUCAGAUUAGGUAGUUGGUGGGGUAAAGGCCUACCAAGCCGACGAUCUGUAGUUGGUCUGAGAGGACGACCAGCCACACUGGGACUGAGACACGGCCCAGACUCCUACGGGAGGCAGCAGUGGGGAAGUUUGGUCAAUGGGGGCAACCCUGAUCCAGCAAUGCCGCGUGCAGGAAGAAGUCCUUCGGGUUGUAAACUGCUUUUGUCAGGGAAGAAAUCCUGUGGGUUAAUACCUCGUGGGGAUGACGGUACCUGAAGAAUAAGCACCGGCUAACUACGUGCCAGCCGCCGCAGUAAAGC